AUGGUAGAAACGGAUGCAAAGCUGCUGGUCAACAAUUCCAAGAGUGGGCAAAUACAAGAAAAUACUGUAGAGAUGCUAGCUAAUAAAAUUGAGAUGGAACCAUGGAGGACAAAUGUACUAGCUAAUACUCCAUAUCAAUUUGUUUGUUUACCAGGAGAAUUAAUCACGGUGGUGACGCCUUGUAUGUUCGUACCACGUCACACAGGCUGGUCGGGGAAGGAGCUGAGGAGCCCACCUCCGGCUUGCAACCAACGAGGUGGAGCAGGAUGCGAGCUGAUCCUAGGUCCUGAGAUUGACAGGAGACAACGAACUAGCCGCUGCCGGAGCCUGAGAUCGGGAGGCUGCGAUGAGCACACAGUGUCGCGGAUCUUAGUACUCCAUGAGAUCUGA
rnacentral:rRNA from 1 species